rnacentral:lncRNA from 1 species
UUCUAGAAGUUAUCCCAUUUUCGCUUUGUUCUUGGUUUUUGUUCUUUUUGGUUCCUUGGACGGGUACUCUUUUUUCUCUUCUCUUUGAAGAGGUUUUAAUGAGGCUCGACCCUUAGUUUGCUUUUUGUGCUUUCAGGGGUUCUUGGUUUGGUUUUUUCUUUUUUCUUUUCAAUAAAUCGCAAUUUAAUCAUAAUGAGACUUCAGUGAGUAAUGUAUGAAACAUUGUCUUAUUUUUCUUGUUAAAGGAAUAUCUUCAACAUAAUUUUUUACUUCCUCC